GAUGAACGCUAGCGGCAGGCCUAAUACAUGCAAGUCGAGGGAGAGGUUACCUUCGUGUAUCCUAAACCGGCGCACGCGUGCGUAACGCGUAUACAAUCUGCCUCUCACAUCGGGAUAGCCCGAAGACAUGUGGAUUAAGACUUAAAGGGAUAUAAGAGCGGCUUCGCUUUUAUAUUAAAGCUAAGGCGGUGAAAGCUGAGUAUGCGUUCUAUUAGCGCGUUGGAGAGGUAACGGCAUGCCAAGGCGACUAGAGAUAGGGGCUCUGAGAGGGGGGUCCCCGAGACUGAGACAGGGACAAGAACCAGACGGCUACGAGAGGCAGCAGUGAGGAAGAAAGGGCAGUGGUCGGAAGGCUGAUCCAGCCAGGCCGCGUGCAGGAGGAAGGUCCUAUGGAUUGUAAACUGCUGUGGUAAGGAAAGAAUGAGGGGUACGUGUACUUUGAUGACGGUACCUUACGAGUAAGCAACGGCUAACUCCGUG
rnacentral:rRNA from 1 species